CAGCCCCUGGUCCUGGUUAUGCCUUUCUCUGCUAGAGAUUUUUACUACCUGGUAUGUUCUCCCAAAAGGUGGUGAUGCCCAUCAGGGCAUGUAGGGACCAGAAUGACUCAUUGGGAACCUGAUCCAGAUUAUUUCACUCUUCAUAUAUUGUAGAACUGCUCCAACAUUUGGCGCCAGGCUGAGCGGUUCUCGUUUCAAAGCUGCCUAUUCCCCUCUCCUCAUUUGCUGUUCCUCGGCCUCUUCAGUCUGGCAGGGAUAAUCCAAUCUAUGCCAGAGCCACAGGCAUAUUUCUCCAUAAAGUACUGGCUGUUACAAUGAAGACUUCCCUGCAGAGAAAGCUGUGCAUCACUGGAUGGGGGAGAUGAAGCAGAAGGGUACUUCAGCAGUGCAGCAGCUUGAAUUUCUGUCCCAGGAGGAGACAGACAACUGAACACCAACAGCUGGAUUCCCCAGUGGUACUAAUCAGUGGAUCCUCCAGUAUGGGCAGAAGAAGAUUCUAAAUGACAAUCAUUGGCUUGAUGACAAGGCAGUUGGGGGAUCUGUGCCAUUGGAUUUAGACUCAUGGAGCUACAUUCUACUCUACUGAUCUAUAUAUUUAACUUGCAAAUUAUGGUGGUUCUUUGUACAGCAGCCCAGUGGGUUUCUUGCUUUGUAAUUCACCAAACACAAUGGUCAUUUAUCAGUAUGUCCCUAUAACCUAUUUAUGUGUUUCCUCUGUGCCUUGUUUUGACCAUCCAAUUCUGAUCAAGCUUCCUAAUCAUUUUACCAGACCUAAUACAGACCAUUAUAGUAACUGUGCUUGGAGUUACAGAAGUUAUAGGAGUUAUGUUUGGUUGAAAGAACAGAACCCAGUUACCCAACCAUACCCAAAAGACCCAAACAUUCUCUCGCUAUUAAAAUAUUUUAUUGACCAG